CCCGGCUAGAAUCUGCUAAGAGUCAGUUUUUAGUGAAACAGCAUUGAGCUAUGAGCCAAGACCCACUUCUUCACUAAUUUGAUCUUGUGCAAGCCAUCUUACCUCUCUGGAUCUCAGUUGUCUCAUCUGUAAAAAGGAGAUAAAAAUUCUUUACCUUUCUGAAGAUGAGGUGGAGA